UAAAAAGUUUGUAAGCAUUCUUGUGACAGUAUAAAAAUGGUUGGAGGGCAUCAGAUGCUAGGAUAAUGAGCAUGGUAUAAUUAGCCUUGAUGGAUAGGUAAUGAGAUAGUGAAGUAUGAAUGGGAAUUAAUAGAUUAAGCAGCCAGAUUAACUACUACUAUUUAAGCGGUGACCCCCGGCCCAGCCCUCCAGCUGCGAUGGAUCUGCCUGAGCUCACUCUGCUAUAGAGCUGCAAGGCAGUGCACGCAGCCCUUUGCCUGUAAGUUGGUUGUCUUGCUGGAAAAAGGAAUGCUGGAGUCAUUACGUCCCCUUCCCUCCCGUUCUGAGGGGAGCCAGGCUGUGCUGCUGCUCUGGCCACAUGUGACACUUCACGCAUACAACUUGUUCCAGCGAAGGCCCCCACGUGCCUACCACGUCCCCAGUGCUCCCCACUCAAACAAAAUAUCCUCAACUGCUCGGGUGUUGG
ensembl:lncRNA